UCUCUUCCUUUCCCUCCUUCCUCAACGGCCAGAUUUUGUUCUUCCCAUCCUCCCUUUCCUACUGUUUUAUUCAUCAGAGUUUUUAAUUAAAAAUAAAUUGCACUAAUGGCUGAUUAGUAAUUACAACCUCCUCUUCCUCCGAUCUCUCAUGAGUUUCUGUGCACUUUCCUCUCUUAUUUUCUUCCAAUUUAGGGGGGUUUCUUCUUCUUCUUCUUCUUCUCUCUGAUCAACAAUGUUUCCUCUUUUGCUAAUUCAACAUCCUUAUUCGCUAUGAUUUUCAACAUUCCCACGUCCCUUUCUUCUCCUCCUUCUUCCUUUUUUCAGUUGCGUCAAUGGGCUGCGGAGGUUCC
rnacentral:lncRNA from 1 species